AAAUCAUGGUGUGGGCACAAUCUGAGCAUAUUUUUGAAUCUAUCCCAAGCUUCAUAUAAAGAUUCUGUAUUAACCUGUCUGAAGCUGGCAAUCAAAUUCUGCAUAU